rnacentral:rRNA from 1 species
ACGCUCGACACCUACGGGAGGCAGCAGUGGGGAAUAUUGCACAAUGGAGGAAACUCUGAUGCAGCGACGCCGCGUGAGGGAAGAAGGUCUUCGGAUUGUAAACCUCUGUUGUCAGGGACGAUGAUGACGGUACCUGACGAGGAAGCCACGGCUAACUACGUGCCAGUAGCCGCGGUAAUCUGAGCGGGCUGGCAAGGC